rnacentral:lncRNA from 1 species
GGGCAGCAUGGGAGGAAUGGCUGGGAGUUAGAGAAAGAUAUAUUUUCCAUCCCAUGCAAGAGCCACUUCACUGAUAGCUGGCUGGCUGGCAAGCUUGUCCCAAGGCAGCAUAGGCAGAGCCAAGGUGGCAAUGAAGCAAGGGCUUUCUUAUGUAUGUGUGAAUCAUCAGUGAUUUCAGAAAAUCACUAAAAUUUUCCAGGCUGACAUUAAGAGGCUUAAGAAGUCAUACACUGUCCCAACAAUUAAAACGUUCAACAAACUGAAAAGACUUCUCAUCUUCUUAGAUCCAUCAGAGAACUGAGAAUUACUUCAGAUUACUGAGAAUUACAGACAGAUGCCAAAAUACAGAUGCAGGAAGCGCAGAGAACACCAAGCAGAAUAAAUUUUGAAGAAAUUACACUGUAGGCAUAUCAUAUUAAAACUUGAAAAAAAUCAAAGAAAAAAUCUUCAAAGAAGCUAAAGGGGGAAGACCCACAUUGCCUAUAGAGAAAUAAAGAUUAAAAUUGCGUUCAACUCCUUAUAAACCAUGCAAGUGAGAAGAGAAUUGAAUGAAAUAUAUAGUAAGGAAAAUUAUAUUAGUCAGAAACUCAGGUCUGCAUAAAGAAAGGAGGAACAUUGGGCCAGGGAUUUAGCACAGUGGUUCUGCUGCCUGCCUUCCAAGUGCAAGGUCCCAAGUUUGAUCCCCGGUAUGAAAAAAAAAA